UGGGGAAUAUUGCACAAUGGGCGCAAGCCUGAUGCAGCCAUGCCGCGUGUGUGAAGAAGGCCUUCGGGUUGUAAAGCACUUUCAGCGAGGAGGAAGGUGGUGGACUUAAUACGUUCAUCAAUUGACGUUACUCGCAGAAGAAGCACCGGCUAACUCCGUGCCAGCAGCCGCGGUAAUACGGAGGGUGCAAGCGUUAAUCGGAAUUACUAGGCGUAAAGCGCACGCAGGCGGUUUGUUAAGUCAGAUGUGAAAUCCCCGGGCUCAACCUGGGAACUGCAUUUGAAAACUGGCAAGCUAGAGUCUCGUAGAGGGGGGUAGAAUUCCAGGUGUAGCGGUGAAAUGCGUAGAGAUCUGGAGGAAUACCGGUGGCGAAGGCGGCCCCCUGGACGAAGACUGACGCUCAGGUGCGAAAGCGUGGGGAGCAAAACAGGAUUAGAUACCCUGGUAGUCCACGCUGUAAACGAUGUCGAUUUUGGAGGUUGUGCCCUUGAGGCGUGGCUUCCGGAGCUAACGCGUUAAAUCGACCGCCUGGGGAGUACGGCCGCAAGG
rnacentral:rRNA from 1 species